AUGACAGAUGAUUGUAUGUGUUCAUGCUUGUGCUUAGCUGCAUACUCCCUCCGUCCGGAAAUACUUGUCCUCGAAAUGGAUAAAAUGGAUGUAUCUAUAACUAAAAUAAGUCUAGAUACAACCAUUUUGAGGACAAGUAUUUCCGGACGGAGGGAGUACUUAAUUGUAGGUAUUUCAUAUUUCAAUCAUUCCUUUCGUGAGGUGGUGCUGGAGCUGAAGCUCAAAUUUAUUGGUUGUGUUUCUGAAACAUGGUGGUUAUGUUUUCUGUUUUCAUCAUGGGUUGGUGGUUAUGUAUCUGAUAUGGAAACCUGA
rnacentral:rRNA from 1 species